GACGAACGCUGGCGGCGUGCUUAACACAUGCAAGUCGAACGGAAAGGCCCUGCUUUUGUGGGGUGCUCGAGUGGCGAACGGGUGAGUAACACGUGAGUAACCUGCCCUUGACUUUGGGAUAACUUCAGGAAACUCGGGCUAAUACCGGAUAGGAGCUCCUGCUGCAUGGUGGGGGUUGGAAAGUUUCGGCGGUUGGGGAUGGACUCGCGGCUUAUCAGCUUGUUGGUGGGGUAGGGGCUUACCAAGGCUUUGACGGGUAGCCGGCCUGAGAGGGUGACCGGGCACAUUGGGACUGAGAUACGGCCCAGAAUCCUACGGGAGGCAGCAGUGGGGAAUAUUGCACAAUGGGCGGAAGCCUGAUGCAGCAACGCCGCGUGCGGGAUGACGGCCUUCGGGUUGUAAACCGCUUUCGCCUGUGACGAAGCGUGAGUGACGGUAAUGGGUAAAGAAGCACCGGCUAACUACGUG
rnacentral:rRNA from 1 species